rnacentral:rRNA from 1 species
GAUGAACGCUAGCUACAGGCUUAACACAUGCAAGUCGAGGGGUAACGAGAGGAAAGCUUGCUUUCCUUGUCGACGACCGGCGCACGGGUGAGUAACGCGUAUCCAACCUGCCCCCAACUAGGGAAUAACCUUGCGAAAGUAAGACUAAUACCCUAUAAUUUCCUCAGAUGUCAUCUGACGAGGAAUAAAGAUUUAUCGGUUGUGGAUGGGGAUGCGUCUGAUUAGCUUGUUGGCGGGGUAACGGCCCACCAAGGCAACGAUCAGUAGGGGUUCUGAGAGGAAGGUCCCCCACAUUGGAACUGGGACACGGUCCAAACUCCUACGGGAGGCAGCAGUGAGGAAUAUUGGUCAAUGGGCGGAAGCCUGAACCAGCCAAGUAGCGUGCAGGAUGGCGGCCCUAUGGGUUGUAAACUGUUUUUAUACAGGAAUAAAAUUAGCCACGUGUGGUUAUUUGUAGGUACCGUAUGAAUAAGGACCGGCUAAUUCCGUGCCAGCCGCCGCCGUAA